AACUUUCCUAUUCUCCACUGGUGGAUAUUUUCAAUGUUGACCAGAAGUAGAGGUAGGCAUGGUCUCUAAUAUUACCCAUAGUACCAGACUUGUAAAAGUGUUGACUAUAAAAAAAAAAGAAGAUGUAGUAUGAUUGCCAAGAAGACAACUCUCCACAGGAGACCAAAAUGACACAGAAAUUAAAACAACUAUAGGUCACUGUACGGCCUUUAACAAUGAGUAAAUCCCAUACCGCAUAGCCAGCUUUAAAAGGCCUCGAAAUCACAAUGUAAAACAAUUCAGUCAAACGAGAAAACUAACGGCCUUAUUUAUACAAAAAAAAUGAACGAAAAACAAAUAUGUAAUACCACUGAAUUACAGGCUCCGACUUGGGACAGGCACAUACAUACAUAAUGUGGCGGGAUUAAACAAGUUAGCGGGAUCCCAAUCCUCCCCCUAACCUCGGACAGUGGUAUAACAGAACAACAAUAGAACGAACUAUAAAAAUCAGCUGAAAAAGGCUCAACUCAUCAGACGGACAAAAAUACAAGUGGAUAGGGUAUGAGAUGUCUGGUUUGUCAAAAAGACCACCUGAACUAUUAACUGCUGACCAAAGUAAGUGAUUUACACCAUGGGACAUGGAUAUGGAGGUAGAGUUAUACAUGACCUCUAAUAUGGAUCAAAUCAUUUAUACAUUUAAAAAUUGUAAACCAAAUUUCAUUAAAAAAAAAUCUCAGUUACUUUUUCUGAGACUUAUUUCUCUACAUUCCAAUUCACUAUGACAGUAUGUUUUGUUGGUCUCUUAAACACCACAACGGACCUCCUUUGAGCACAAAACACAUAUUAAUGUAGCACAAAGGAGUUUACAAGAGCACAAAUUAAUUUUGUUUCGUUGGGCUGUUUGAUGAAAAUGAAAAUAUACCUAUUGCAGUCCAGAUAAUUUCGAUACAUAAUUGAAAUAAAAGUGUAUAAUCAUGCCGUGAAAUGUAUGGCCUUGCCGAAUGUAUUAUACAAAAAACUCUCGGAUUCUUUUAUACCCUCUGAUAAAAUUUUGGAUGCAAUGGUUUCUAUUUCUUCCUUUUUUACAUCAAUAAACGAUGACCGAUGUCUUUAGUCACCGCUUGUGUGGUCUAGACUUAGAAAACUUGUUUAUUUUGCAUACAUUUCUUUAUUCUACAUUGGCUAGAGGUAUAGGGAAGGGUUGAUCUCAGAUCUCACAAUUCAUGUUUAACCCCAUGGCAUUUGAUUGUAGGACAGAAAGUCACAGGACAAAAAGUCACAGACAAAAAAUCACAGACAAAAAGUAACGGACAAAAAGUCGCAGGACAAAAAGUCACAAUUUAUUUUUUCUGAUUAUUUUCUUUAAAUAAAAAAC
rnacentral:lncRNA from 1 species